rnacentral:rRNA from 1 species
UGAGUGCGAGCGGCUACGGCCGCGAAGUGGGUGAUGUCAAGCUUCCAAGAAAAGCCCUAUACCCGUUAAGGCAUGAUGGCCUGUACCCGAAACCGACACAGGUAGGGUGGUAGAGAAUACCGAGGGGCGCGAGGUAACUCUCUCUAAGGAACUCGGCAAAAUGGCCCCGUAACUUCGGGAGAAGGGGUGCCACCGCAAGGUGGUCGCAGUGAAGAGGCCCAGGCGACUGUUUACCAAAAACACAGGUCUCCGCUAAGUCGCAAGACGAUGUAUGGGGGCUGACGCCUGCCCAGUGCCGGAAGGUUAAGGAAGCUGGUCAGCGCAAGCGAAGCUGGCGACUGAAGCCCCGGUGAACGGCGGCCGUAACUAUAACGGUCCUAAGGUAGCGAAAUUCCUUGUCGGGUAAGUUCCGACCCGCACGAAAGGCGUAACGAUCUGGGCGCUGUCUCGGAGAGAGGCUCGGCGAAAUAGAAUUGUCUGUGAAGAUGCGGACUACGUGCACCCGGACAGAAAGACCCUAUGAAGCUUUACUGUAGCUUGGUAUUGUGCCCGGGCUCUGAAUGCGCAGGAUAGGUGGGAGGCUUUGAUCCAUGGCUUGCGGGUCAUGGUGAGCCAACGGUGAGAUACCACUCUUUCAGAGCUAGGGUUCUAACGGUCACCCGUCAUCCGGGGACCGGACAGUAUCAGGUGGGCAGUUUGACUGGGGCGGUCGCCUCCUAAAAGGUAACGGAGGCGCGCAAAGGUUUGCUCAGGCUGGUUGGAAAUCAGCCGACGAGUGCAAAAGCAGAAGCAAGCUUGACUGUGAGACCUACAAGUCGAACAGGGACGAAAGUCGGCUUUAGUGAUCCGACGGUUCUGAGUGGAAGGGCCGUCGCUCAACGGAUAAAAGUUACUCUAGGAUAACAGGCUGAUCUCCCCCAAGAGUUCACAUCGACGGGGAGGUUUGGCACCUCGAUGUCGGCUCAUCGCAACCUGGGGCUGAAGUCGGUCCCAAGGGUUGGGCUGUUCGCCCAUUAAAGCGGUACGCGAGCUGGGUUCAGAACGUCGUGAGACAGUUCGGUCCAUAUCCGGUGCACGCGCAGGAACAUUGAGAGGAUUUCUCCCUAGUACGAGAGGACCGGGAGGAACGCACCUCUGGUGUGCCAGUUAUCGUGCCAACGGUAAACGCUGGGUAGCCAUGUGCGGAGUGGAUAACCGCUGAAAGCAUCUAAGUGGGAAGCCCACCUCAAGAUGAGUGUUCCCAUGGCAUAAGCCAGUAAGGUCACGGGAAGAACACCCGUUGAUAGGCUCUACGUGGAAGCCGGGUAACCGGUGAAGCGGAGGAGUACUAAUAGACCGAGGGCUUGACCU